AUUUCCCUCUUGACGGGGUGAGCCGGUUUUCUGCUCCUCUUGUUUUCCGGCGGUCUGCCCUCCUUCUCCAUCUCUGCCAUGAUGAGAAAGCAACAGGAAUGGUCAACACGAAGCUCGGGCUCAUUCAUCCCUUGGGUUCUGGUGGAUGUGAUGCACAGCUUUGGGAAACAAAGAGGUUUGCCGAAUAGUUUUCGUGAAGGUGGUACCCUUUAAAAUCGAUGCUAUGAAAGAGUGAAGAAGGUUCAGGCAGCCUGAUUCUUUGGAGUGUUCUAACUGGUGUGUCCCUUUAUAAAAGUGAUGCAAAGUCUACCGUUACAAGCGACUACAUACACCUGUACGGGUUAUCAACAACACCAGUAGACCGGGGAAAAUAAUAAAAGCCUAUCCUGUCA